GACCCGUCUUGAAACACGGACCAAGGAGUUUAUCGUGUGCGCAAGUCAUUGGGCGUUCAAAACCCAAAGGCGCAAUGAAAGUAAAUGCAUCCGCAAGGAGCUGACGUGCGAUCCUGGGCAUCGCGGUGCCCGGGCGCAGCAUGGCCCCAUCCCGACUGCAUGCAGUGGGGUGGCGGUAGAGCGUACGCGAUGAGACCCGAAAGAUGGUGAACUAUUCCUGAGCAGGAUGAAGCCAGAGGAAACUCUGGUGGAAGUCCGAAGCGAUUCUGACGUGCAAAUCGAUCGUCUGACUUGGGUAUAGGGGCGAAAGACUAAUCGAACCAUCUAGUAGCUGGUUCCCUCCGAAGUUUCCCCCAGGAUAGCUGGCGCUCAUAUUUUGUAGUUAUACUCGGUAAAGCGAAUGAUUAGAGGACUUGGGGACGAAAUGUUCUUAACCUAUUCUCAAACUCUAAAUGGGUAUGAAGCGUGAGUUGCUUGACUCUUCACUGAACUCGCGCGUUGAAUACAGAGCUCCAAGUGGGCCAUUUUUGGUAAGCAGAACUGGCGAUGUGGGAUGAACCAAACGUGGAGUUAAGGUGUCAAAGUGUCCGCUCAUUGGACCCCAUAAAAGGUGUUGGUUGAUAUAGACAGCAGGACGGUGGCCAUGGAAGUCGGAAUCCGCUAAGGAGUGUGU
rnacentral:rRNA from 1 species